GUGGGGAAUUUUGGACAAUGGGGGCAACCCUGAUCCAGCAAUGCCGCGUGCAGGAAGAAGGCCUUCGGGUUGUAAACUGCUUUUGUACGGAACGAAACGGUCCUGGUUAAUACCUGGGGCUAAUGACGGUACCGUAAGAAUAAGCACCGGCUAACUACGUGCCAGCAGCCGCGGUAAUACGUAGGGUGCAAGCGUUAAUCGGAAUUACUGGGCGUAAAGCCUGCGCAGGCGGUUUUGUAAGACAGGCGUGAAAUCCCCGGGCUAAACCUGGGAAUUGCGCUUGUGACUGCAGGGCUGGAGUGCGGCAGAGGGGGAUGGAAUUCCGCGUGUAGCAGUGAAAUGCGUAGAUAUGCGGAGGAACACCGAUGGCGAAGGCAAUCCCCUGGGCCUGCACUGACGCUCAUGCACGAAAGCGUGGGGAGCAAACAGGAUUAGAUACCCGAGUAGUCC
rnacentral:rRNA from 1 species